rnacentral:rRNA from 1 species
CCAUCCCAGUUCGGAUUGCAGGCUGCAACCCGCCUGUAUGAAGUUGGAAUCGCUAGUAAUCGCGGAUCAGCAUGCCGCGGUGAAUACGUUCCCGGGCCUUGUACACACCGCCCGUCACACCAUGGGAGCCGGUAAUACCCGAAGUCAGUAGUCUAACCGCAAGGGGGACGCUGCCGAAGGUAGGAUUGGCGACUGGGGUGAAGUCGUAACAAGGUACC